rnacentral:lncRNA from 1 species
GAAUUACUAUAAUAAAUAUAAUAAGCAGAAAGAAAUAAAGUGUAUGUAUAAAUUAAGCAAGAAUGGUUAUAAGAAAUAUGAAAUUGACAAGAUUUUUUAACAAAUGUCAAAAACAAAAAAUAACUAUUUAAGCAAAGAUAAAGGGAAUGAGUACAGAAGUGUAAAUAUAUGUACAACAAUGAGUAAGCUAAACAAGUGUAUUGAGGAUAAAGCAAAAAUGAAAUUGGAAUUCAAAAGAAAGAAUACAAUUUUUAAUGUACUAAAAAAUGAAAAGAACCAAUCCCAUCCCUGGAAAAACAUAAGUAAUACAAGAUUCCAUUUUAUAAUAAUUCCUUGGAUAAGAAAGAAGAGGCUUGAAAACAAGGAUUGUGGAGCAUAACAAAUUAAUAGAAAUGCAAAAAAUAGACACAGUACAAUUACUCUCCAAUAUAAUGUUGAUAUUAAAUAGGAUCAGGUCAAGGGUGAUAAAACAAAUAGAAGAUAGACAGACAGGAUUUGUAGCUGAGAACUUGGAGAUUGAAAAAGCAAGAGAUAGAGAAUGUGCCUCCUGUCUGAUAAGAUAUCUUUAGUAUGGAUUUGGUGCUCCAAACACAUUUAACUUAAAAGAGCAUGCGAGUUAUCUAAUCUAUAGCACACGUUUUUAUUAUUCUCCUUUAAUUUUAAUAUUAUAUACCGGGUGUUUUUCUGGAGGCCGAACACUUUGAUUUUUGGCAUCGAGCCGGUUCUGAUGGAUCUGUCACGUCGGGGGUUGCUCGCUGCGAAAGUUUGUAUUUUUGAUUCGAACGGCCAUGCGUUUGAG